rnacentral:ncRNA from 1 species
UAAGCUUUGCCACCGGGUAAAGUUUUUAAGGUGUUCAAAACAUUCCGUUAGGUCUUAGAAGGAAUGUUAGGGACACCUUUUUAUUU